AUUGAACGCUGGCGGCAGGCCUAACACAUGCAAGUCGAACGAGUGGCGGACGGGUGAGGAAUGUCUGGGAAACUGCCCGAUGGAGGGGGAUAACUACUGGAAACGGUAGCUAAUACCGCAUACCAUCGGAUGUGCACAGAUGGGAUUAGCUAGUAGGUGUGGUAAUGGCUCACCUAGGCGACGAUUCCUAGCGGGUCUGAGAGGAUGACCAGCCACACUGGAACUGAGACAAGGUCCAGACGCCUACGGGAGGCAGCAGUGGGGAAUAUUGCACAAUGGGCGCAAGCCUGAUGCAGCCAUGCCGCGUGUAUGAAGAAGGCCUUCGGGUUGUAAAGUACUUUCAGCGAGGAGGCGUUACUCGCAGGAGAAGCACCGGCUAACUCCGUGCCAGCAGCCGCGGUAAUUC
rnacentral:rRNA from 1 species